rnacentral:rRNA from 1 species
CUACGGGAGGCAGCAGUGGGGAAUAUUGGACAAUGGGCGCAAGCCUGAUCCAGCCAUGCCGCGUGAGUGAUGAAGGCCCUAGGGUUGUAAAGCUCUUUCACCGGUGAAGAUAAUGACGGUAGCCGGAGAAGAAGCCCCGGCUAACUUCGUGCCAGCAGCCGCGGUAAUACGAAGGGGGCUAGCGUUGUUCGGAAUUACUGGGCGUAAAGCGCACGUAGGCGGACAUUUAAGUCAGGGGUGAAAUCCCGGGGCUCAACCUCGGAACUGCCUUUGAUACUGGGGAUCUCGAGUUCGGGAGAGGUGAGUGGAACUGCGAGUGUAGAGGUGAAAUUCGUAGAUAUUCGCAAGAACACCAGUGGCGAAGGCGGCUCACUGGCCCGAUACUGACGCUGAGGUGCGAAAGCGUGGGGAGCAAACAGGAUUAGAUACCCUAGUAGUCC